GAUGAACGCUGGCGGCGUGCUUAACACAUGCAAGUCGAACGAUGAAGCCCAGCUUGCUGGGUGGAUUAGUGGCGAACGGGUGAGUAACACGUGAGUAACCUGCCCUUAACUCUGGGAUAAGCCUGGGAAACUGGGUCUAAUACCGGAUAGGAGCGUCCACCGCAUGGUGGGUGUUGGAAAGAUUUAUCGGUUUUGGAUGGACUCGCGGCCUAUCAGCUUGUUGGUGAAGUAAUGGCUCACCAAGGCGACGACGGGUAGCCGGCCUGAGAGGGUGACCGGCCACACUGGGACUGAGACACGGCCCAGACUCCUACGGGAGGCAGCAGUGGGGAAUAUUGCACAAUGGGCGCAAGCCUGAUGCAGCGACGCCGCGUGAGGGAUGACGGCCUUCGGGUUGUAAACCUCUUUCAGUAGGGAAGAAGCGAAAGUGACGGUACCUGCAGAAGAAGCACCGGCUAACUACGUG
rnacentral:rRNA from 1 species